rnacentral:rRNA from 1 species
UACGUAGGGGGCAAGCGUUGUCCGGAUUUAUUGGGCGUAAAGAGCGUGUAGGCGGCCAGGUAGGUCCGUUGUGAAAACUCGAGGCUCAACCUCGAGACGUCGGCGGAAACCCUCUGGCUAGAGUCCGGAAGAGGAGAGUGGAAUUCCUGGUGUAGCGGUGAAAUGCGCAGAUAUCAGGAAGAACACCCGUGGCGAAGGCGGCUCUCUGGGACGGUACUGACGCUGAGGAGCGAAAGCCAGGGGAGCAAACGGG